UACAGAGGUCUCAAGCGUUGUUCGGAUUCAUUGGGCGUAAAGGGUGCGUAGGCGGCUUGGCAAGUGGAUGGUGAAAUCCCUCGGCUUAACCGAGGAACUGCCGUCCAAACUGCUUGGCUUGAGACCGGGAGAGGUGAGUGGAAUUCCCAGUGUAGCGGUGAAAUGCGUAGAUAUUGGGAGGAACACCAGUGGCGAAGGCGGCUCACUGGACCGGUACUGACGCUGAUGCGCGAAAGCGUGGGGAGCAAACGGG
rnacentral:rRNA from 1 species